GUGUGUGUAUAUAAUGCAGUGUGUUUGUGUAGUGUGCAUUAUAUAAACACACUACACAAACACACUGCAUUAUACUACACACAC